rnacentral:rRNA from 1 species
CAGCCGCCACGGUAAUACGUAGGUGGCAAGCGUUGUCCGGAAUUAUUGGGCGUAAAGCGCGCGCAGGCGGAUAGGUCAGUCUGUCUUAAAAGUUCGGGGCUUAACCCCGUGAUGGGAUGGAAACCGCCAAUCUAGAGUAUCGGAGAGGAAAGUGGAAUUCCUAGUGUAGCGGUGAAAUGCGUAGAUAUUAGGAAGAACACCAGUGGCGAAGGCGACUUUCUGGACGAAAACUGACGCUGAGGCGCGAAAGCCAGGGGAGCGAACGGGAUUAGAUACCCCGGUAGUCCCUGUCUCUUAUACA